UUUUGAGGUAUAUUUUUGUAAAUGGCACAUUUAAGUAAGACAUACUAAUGAAUAUCCCUUGUUCCAGCUCAAGAGACUUCAAUAUAUGUAGCAUUUGAAGACUACUCAGCAUUUUCAAUUAUGUCGAAGAAUAUAGAGCAUUUCCCCUGUUAAUAAUUCAGUUUUGUUAAUCGACAAAGUGAGCAAAGUGUAUACUAGAAUUUUGUUAACUUAACCAUAAAAUAUGCAACUUUCAACAAGUAUAUUGCGUAUAAUUACAAUAAUAGCUUAAUAAUCUGUUCACAAAAGGAUAGUACCUCCAUGUUUCGAUCUUGAGCAUUUCAACCAAUAGCAAUGUAACAUCCAUCUGAAAUAAUCAUCUCACAACAAAUAUCUCGACUCUGCCACUGUAAUCAUUAGAAGUUAAAAUUGACAAACCCUAGUUGCUUUAAAAAGAUCAAAUAUGUUAUGCGCAUUCGCUUAGAAAGUAAUGAAAAUUUGCAUAGAUGUUCAACUUAGCAAUCACAUAGCACUAAUUGAAGCAAAUCAAACAGAGAAUGUUUGAGAUAACCAAAUCGCAUUUGACGAACAGAGCAAACAAAAUCACGAAGAACAGAAAACAUAAUAUAAACAAUUGUGCAUGUGAUUCUACAAUUCUAAGAGGCAGGGAAAGUACAACGCGUGGCGAACGAAGAGUGUGAUUCUUAUUCUGCAAGUUGACGGGCGGCGGCGAUGGAAUGGAGGAACAUACGACGAUGGUGGGAGCGGAGGCAUUUUGGUGAGCAGGACAAAGGGAGGG
rnacentral:lncRNA from 1 species